UUAGUUGGUGGGGUAAUGGCCUACCAAGGCAACGAUGCGUAGCCGAACUGAGAGGUUGAUCGCCCACACUGGGACUGAGACACGGCCCAGACUCCUACGGGAGACAGCAGUUAGGAAUAUUCGUCAAGGGGGGAAACCCUGAACGAGCAAUGCCGCGUGAACGAUGACGGCCCUAUGGGUUGUAAAGUUCUGUUGUUUGGAAAGAACGAUAUAUAGAGGAAAUGCUAUAUAUGUGACGGUACCAUUCAAGAAAGCCACGGCUAACUACGUGCCAGCAGCCGCGGUAAUACGUAGGUGGCGAGCGUUAUCCGGAUUUAUUGGGCGUAAAGGGUGCGCAGACGGUUUAUUAAGUCUAAAAUCAAAUCUUGGGGCUUAACCCCAUUCCGUUUUAGAAACUGGUGGACUUGAGUAUGGUAGAGGCAAAUGGAAUUCCUAGUGUAGCGGUGGAAUGCGUAGAUAUUAGGAGGAACACCAGUGGCGAAGGCGAUUUGCUGGGCCAUUACUGACGUUCAGGCACGAAAGCGUGGGAGCAAAUAGGAUUAGAUACCCUAGUAGUCCACGCCGUAAACGAUGAGUACUAAGUGUCGGGUUACCGGUGCUGAAGUUAACACAUUAAGUACUCCGCCUGAGUAGUACGGUCGCAAGGCUACAACAA
rnacentral:rRNA from 2 species